UAAAAGUUUAUAAUAACAAAAUAAUAACAAGUUACACCGAAUUACGAACGAAAAGCCGUAAAACCACGUGAAAUGUUACAUAGAAGAAACACUGAAACAGAUUAAAAACAAAAUACGAAGAAAAAGCUUUGCAUCGACCUCGACAGGUGGCGGUUGUGGCCAACACAAAUAACCACGCUAAAUACGGACAGAAAAGUAAGACGCAUCGGGUGGACAUAACCUCAAUCCAGUCUACCUAACAACAACCGCACCAACUCGGACCUGUAUCAGCUAUUGUUGAUUCGACACCGUUUCGGGACGCCGAAAUCGGUGAGAAUCUACCAGAACAAUCAACCGGGUCGAUAAGGAAAGCUUCAAAGAUCGCAACGCAAACAACUAACCAGAAACCUACACCUGUAAAACCGCAAGUAUAAGAGCAAACGUGAUGUUGAGUUUAGGGUUAUUG